GGCCUUGUGGUCUAGUGGUAUGAUUCUCGCUUUGGGACACCAAAGAUGCGAGAGGCCCCGCGUUCGAGUCGCGGCAGGGCCC
rnacentral:tRNA from 14 species